AAAAAGUCCACCCCAAAGGGACUUACCAUCGCCAACAGAAAACACUGUUCACAAACUGCUCCAAACAGCUCUAUUGUAGUCCACGCAUUACUUCCGUGAUGAACGUGCCUCACCUUGUAAC